AGCUGCUUGGGUGACCACAUUUGAUCUUUACAAGUCUUUCAAUUCAGGAUCAAAGGGCUGAUGUCACUAUUAUGCCUUCCUGUUGGUCCAGUUCUGCUGAAUAACUUUUCUCAUGCGCAGAUAGAAGCCAUUCGGUCCAUCAGGUACACCCUGGCCGCAACCAAUGCAAGUGUCAGGAGCUCAUAGCUGCCAGCAUAGAUGGCCAGAAGGUGCUCACAAACUACCCACCUCCUGCUUUAACAAGCAUCUUCUGCCCCAUCUGUGGCAGAAUCUGCAGAUUGUGCAUGACCACAUCAACCACCUCAGAUAUCAUAAGGAUGUUCCCUCAGGAUCGAGGAUACUUACUUCCGCUACAGCUUUAUGUGUUCUGCAGUGAUGAAGGAGGUUGAUGUGAGACCUUUUGGCACUUCCACUAAUAGAGCAUGAGGUGCCAUAUAAUCUUCUUGCUGGAAGUAGUCCCGAAGCUUAGCUCCUCUCUGUGGGCUGUUGAAGGGUACAUGCAGCAUUGUGUGAAAAAUGUUUGAGACAAAUAUGAGGGCAAGGAGGUGAUGUUCCCUCAUGUUGUACUUCACCCUGGACUGGCUCUGCUGUGGUCAUUUUUAUUGUCAUUUUGAAUGUGCCUCUUCCCAAUUGUUUGAUAAAAAUUGAGUUGGUUUGACUUCUAUCAGGCAUUGAUGUCAAGUAGGCCAAGGACUGAGCACAGUGAUGGAAUUCCCAUAAGGGUGAACUUAAUCUUCAAAGUACAACUCUGGUAGAUGAUUGGCAGAAACUCCAAAGGAAAGGAGUAAAUAACUGAUAGUCAUUUUCUCUGUGGCUCCCACUUCAUCUGCACCUUUGGGAUUAGAUUUCUGGAUUGGUAAUCAAAAGGCCUGGAUGAAUGACUCAAUGUCAUGAAUUUGAAUUCCACCAUGGCAGCUAAUAAGUUAAUCAAAUAUAUAUAGCACAACAUUACAGUCCACUUGUGUAUCCUGAUUCACAGCAAUUUGGAUGACUCCGAACUGCCCACUGAAAUCACUGAGCAAGACUCUGAGUUUAAGGGUAUCCGGACGGGGCGUCGAAGGACGAGAAGCCGAAGUGAAGAAGUGGA